rnacentral:rRNA from 1 species
UACAGAGGUCUCAAGCGUUGUUCGGAUUCAUUGGGCGUAAAGGGUGCGUAGGCGGCGCGGUAAGUCGGGUGUGAAAUUUCGAGGCUUAACCGAGGAAGUGCAUUCGAAACUGGCAGGCUUGAGUAUGGAAGAGGGUCGCGGAAUUCCCGGUGUAGAGGUGAAAUUCGUAGAUAUCGGGAGGAACACCAGUGGCGAAGGCGGCGACCUGGGCCAAUACUGACGCUGAGGUGCGAAAGCGUGGGGAGCAAACAGG